AGGUUCAACAACAAGACCUAUUGCUAUUUUUGACGUUCAGAAAUUCAAUAAAGAACUGUUGACAUUUGAAGGUCUCAUUCAAGGUGGCAUCUCCAGAAAUAGAGUUCAAGAAAAACUCAUCAGAACACCUUAAUACAUGCAUUAUGUCACCUGUCUCCAAAAUAUGCCGAAGAAGAUCAGAGAUGGGCAUAGUAAAACCUUAUUUUUUAGAAGAAUCUUACAAGAGAAAGCCAACUAAACGGACAAAAAGAAUGAUGAUCACAGAUAAAGAACCCUAAGUGCUUAAAAAAAAAGGUCUUCCAAAAAGAAGCAAGCUGAUUGGCAGCAUAGAAUGCUAAAGGCUCAGGGAUUAGAAACACCGUGCACCUCUGUAAGCAGAGUGAGGAAUGGAUCUUAAAGCAGACUGAGACUCUGUCAGAAGGCUCUAGAUCCCAGGUAAUGGGGAGACACUAUGUAUCUCUGAACAGAGGAAUAACAUACUCUAGGCAAUUUUAAGAUUGCAUGAAGGGUGGUGAUUUAUGGAACGGAGUGAAGACAGAGACCAAUGAUAACACAGCACACAGCACAAGUAAUCCAGUAACAAGCUAGAAGGCAUCUGAAGAGACGGGAAGAAGGGAUUAGCAUGAAGCCAGGACAAGACAUGCGUGCGCAGACAUCUCUGAGAAACUGGGAUAAAUUACCUUCGAAAUGCACACCGAGAAUGCUGAAGUUUGGCCCCAGUUCUGCCCUUGACGUGUUCUGUGCUCUCAUAAAAUGAGGGAAACAAGACCCCCUUUGGGUCUGGACUCUCUAAAAGCCAAAAUGACAUCAUUGGACUUAUUGCUCUCUAAAAUCACUCCAACUCCAGGAUCCCAUCUGUGAAAUUCAGAACAAGCCGAGGCAGACAUGGAACGAGUUAGGAACCUGCCUGCGGCCUGUUCUACAUGCCUGUCUCCCUGAAGAGCCCGUGUGGGAUGCCGAAUGGGCAGAUACUGAACCUUGGAUCCUAGGGAAUCGUGUCUGUCGGCCUCCCCGUCUUUA